GCUGGAGUGCACUGGCACGAACUUAGUUCACUGCAACCUCUGCCUCCCAGGUUCAAGUGAGUCUCCUGCAUCAGCCUACCAAGUAGCUGGGAUUACAGCCUUCCCAGUGGCCAGCAAUGACCAUGUGACUUGAAUUCUGGCCAGUGAGAUGCAAGGGGAAGUAUGCUGGGAAGCAGGGACUCUGGGAAAACAUUUGCAUCUUCAGGAUCAGACAUGAGAGGAGAGCUUGUUGGUUCUCCCUUUUUCUUCCUGACUGUGGGCCAUCUGGUGAAGAGCCAGAAGGCACAUCUGAAAGACAGACGUGGGAUCUUUGAUGACAGCAUUAAGCUGUAGAAGAACCUUGAGAUUGUUGCCUCCGACUUCUUUUUGAGAAUAAUAAAUGUACUUAUAAUAUAA